GGAAAAGCGUGGCACGAAGCGGUGGUAGUAGGGAGGAUACGAGCGGUUGAGGGAAGUAGGGGGGUGAAAGGGGGCGGAGGGGGUAGGAGAAGGCAGUGGCGAAAGCCCAUCGCUGAACGAUGGAACGGACAUUGAUACUGUAAAGCUGGAAGGCGUAGGAGGUAACUAGAAUAGGUAGUGUAGCGGUGAAAUGCUUAGAUAUGACAUGGAAUACCAAUGGCGAAGGCAGGUUACUACGAAGUGAUUGACGCUGAUGGACGAAAGCGUGGGGAGCGAACAGGAUUAGAUACCCGAGUAGUC
rnacentral:rRNA from 1 species